rnacentral:rRNA from 1 species
CGGAAUUACUGGGCGUAAAGGGCGCGUAGGCGGCCCUCUAAGUCAGACGUGAAAUCCCUCGGCUCAACCGGGGAACUGCGUCUGAUACUGGAGGGCUUGAAUCCGGGAGAGGGAUGUGGAAUUCCAGGUGUAGCGGUGAAAUGCGUAGAUAUCUGGAGGAACACCGGUGGCGAAGGCGGCAUCCUGGACCGGUAUUGACGCUGAGGCGCGAAAGCUAGGGGAGCAAACGGG